ACUUUCUCCUUUAUAAUAUUAGUAUGGUUUUUUUCUGUUGUCUAGGAAAUAAGGAUUUAUACUCUUAGUAGAACAGUUUAAACUAAGUAACUUGUUUUGUCUUCGAGUUUAAGAUUUUUUAUUGUAACAAAGCUGGAAGUCAUUGUUGCGAUUUGAUCGUAGUUUAUUAAUUUUAUUUACCGUUUAAUUUUACUGUUUAAUAUGUAAGUUGUAAACUAGAACUAGUUCCUCCAGAAUCCCAGACAUGAGGCGAAAUACUUUUUAAAAAGUACACACUCGUUAUUGAAUUUCCCAAUUUAUUUUUUUCUAUAAAAAAUCAAAAAUAUUCGAGCUCUCUGAGCUCGCGCUUUUAUUUAUUUAAAGUUUGACUUUAAUGUCACUUUUCUUAUAUGUAAUUUAUUUUAAAAAUAUAAAAUUUUGAUAAGGCAUUUAUUGUUUUCGUUUUGCUUUUUGUAUAAAAAAAAUUCGCGCUUACUGCGCUCGCGCUCCUGUUUGAUAUUGAAUUCUAGCUUAGUAUCAAAUUACAAGGCAGCGUUUUACUAACCAGGGACCCCGUCAUCUCGGGUCAAAACAUUUUUAGUCAUGAAAGGGUUUUGUAAAAAUGCCCUAAAACCCCUCCAAUAUCCAUAUUCCUGUAUUUUUAAAUACUCUAUGUACAUAAAACACAUAAAAUACAUGAAGUUUGGGAACCCUCUUAAGAAAAUUUACUGAAAGAAGAUUUAUGAAAACUCAAGUUUUCAAAGAAGUGAGGUUAAUCACUGGGGGUCUGUAUCACUAUUUUAGAAAGUCAUAGUGGUGUUCAAUCAUUAUUAUUGAACAUUAACUCUCAAAACUAACGGAUCGAAGUAAACAGCGCUCUGCGACAGGUCAUAAGCUGUAUCAAUGCGUAGGAAUGGAAACAAGUAGCCAAUAUCGCUUUAAUUAUUGGGCGAGUAGCGAACGAGGUCGCCUUGUAAACCAACUGGUUUAUCAAAACACUCGUGGCACAUGCGUGGAAAGGUUUAGUUCCACGUAGGUAUUAAUUUUGUUGCAUACAUACAAAAA